rnacentral:rRNA from 2 species
UACGGAGGAUGCGAGCGUUAUCCGGAUUCAUUGGGUUUAAAGGGUGCGCAGGCGGACUUAUAAGUCAGUGGUGAAAUCCUACGGCUCAACCGUGGCACUGCCAUUGAUACUGUGAGUCUUGAGUAUAGUUGAAGUGGGCGGAAUGUAGCAUGUAGCGGUGAAAUGCAUAGAUAUGCUACAGAACACCGAUAGCGAAGGCAGCUCACUAAGUUAUAACUGACGCUCAUGCACGAAAGCGUGGGGAUCAAAC